GCGGAGCCGUCGGCCCGGCCCGCCCCAGGCUCCGCUCGGCAGCGCAGAGCGGACGCGCAGCCUGAUCGCUUGGGGGGGGGUUCCCGGCGCAAUAAAAGGCUUUUAAGGGAGCAGCACCCGGCUCGUCCCAGGAGAAAGGCGGCAGCAGGGGAAAGUGUUCAAUAAUCCUGAUGAGGGUUGCACAGCUGAGUGCUGUUGCAGCACUACUUCAGAGGAGCACAUCUCUGAAUACUUAUGGAGCCUUGUCCUACAGGCAGAAGUACGUUUUAUGCUCCUGAAAAAGUGAAAAAUUAUUGGAGGCAGUAGGAGUGCAAGGAGCACAGCUUUAAAAGAUGAGAGCAAUGAGGAUGGUAGAGGAAGAACACAGAAAUCUCCAGAGACACAGGUUGAAUGGUAAAGAUGUCCUGGAAGAAAAGAAUCAGGUUUGAAACACAAAACCUGGUUAUAUAAAACCUGUCCCAGAAGUCUUAUUACAGAAAGCUACCCAUCUCCCGUCUGGUCCCAGGUAUUCAUAUAACACUUCCAGAUGCUUGUAAUUCACAGGCACAGGAGCUUCUGCUUUCACCCCCCUCUCCCCCCACCCCCCCACUUUCAGUGCAAUAGAUGUUUUGAAAGGCUCUUCAACAGUGCUAUUUUAGUAUGGUAAGUUAUCAUAUUUCAGUCACCAAAUCCUUUUUUGAAAACCACCCCAUGAAAUUCACGGGAAUUCAUUAGAAUAUGUGGCCUAAAACACAUGAGCAAACUCUUGGCUUGGAUAGUGAAAGCCUAUGAUGUCAGAGGAUGUUCAGUGCAGUCUGAAAGAGUGCUGAUUCUUUGUACUUUUUUAGGCCCUAGGACAAUCAAGAUAUGGGCUAAUUUAAAACAACAUUAAGUCAUCAGCUUAAAAUCAAAUUUUAUUCUUUAAAAAAGAAGGGCUGAGAAGAAUCAUAGGUAAUAACAUAUUAUCUGCCAACUUAUUGGUCAUAACAGAUUAAGAUGUGAUUUCUGCCUAUUAUUUUAUUAAUUGUCCACGCAAAGUUAGCAUAGGCUUUAUGAGACUCCUAAUGCAGAAGAAAUACAGCAUCAUAUAAUAUAGCACUGUGAAUUAUGUCAAAGAAUUUUCUAGCAUACUGACAUUUCUAUUACUUUAAUUCUGCUCUUGGAUUCUUACUGAAAGAAUCACAAUUAAAAGUGAGUCUACAUUUAAUUUUUUUCUCUCAGAAUAUAAACAUUCCAUUAAACAUUCCAUUAAAUAUUUAUCUUUUUUUUGUCUGUCUCUCUCCAGAACAUCUGUUAAUUGAA
rnacentral:lncRNA from 1 species